rnacentral:rRNA from 1 species
AUACGGAGGGAGCAAGCGUUAUUCGGAAUCACUGGGCGUAAAGGACGCGUAGGCGGGUUUGUAAGUCAGGUGUGAAAUCCUACAGCUCAACUGUAGAACUGCACUUGAAACUACAGACCUAGAGUAUGGAAGGGGCAGAUGGAAUUAGUGGUGUAGGGGUAAAAUCUGUAGAUAUCACUAGGAAUACCGAAAGCGAAGGCGAUCUGCUGGGACAUUACUGACGCUGAGGCGUGAAAGCGUGGGGAGCAAACAGGAUUAGAAACCCUAGUAGUCC